rnacentral:rRNA from 1 species
UAAGGCCUACGGGGCGCAGCAGUAGGGAAUCUUCCACAAUGGGCGAAACCCUGAUGGUGCGACGCCGCGUGGGGGAAUGAAGGUCUUCGGAUUUUAAACCCCUGUCAUGUGGGAGCAAAUUAAAAAGAUAGUACCACAAGAGGAAGAGACGGCUAACUCUGUGCCAGCAGCCGCGGUAAUACAGAGGUCUCAAGCGUUGUUCGGAAUCACUGGGCGUAAAGCGUGCGUAGGCUGUUUCGUAAGUCGUGUGUGAAAGGCGCGGGCUCAACCCGC